CAACCUUGAAAUUCCAUUUCACAUGGUGGCUCCUGGGCCCCAUCACUGUAAACUGGAGCUCAUGCCUCCAACUGUUCAGGGCAGAGCUGAGCUGUUUCCAGAUCCUCUACCCACUGUGUGAGGCUGGCCCCCAUCUACCACUGCAUAGAAGGGCACUGACACCCCAAGGAGCAGCAGCACAAGUUGGAGGAGUCGUAUGUCCAACUGGGUUCUCCUUGAGAAGGAUGCAGGAUUUCUUGCUUGGCUGACAGAUGUGGAAACUAGGCCCAGAAGAAAGCAGCAGGUUUGCCCAGACUGAGCUACCUCACCUUCUUGGAGGGGUGCUGCUAAAAAUAGUUCCUGGGAGAAUGGGUCCUGGUGACGAGUGCUGCUUUCUUUCCCUGAGUCCACUCGCCAGCCUGCCACCCUCCACCACCACAUCCUGCAAUCCCACCCCUCUCCUGUGCCAGGAACUUGUUAACACCAGUACCAUGCCCUACCAAUACCCUUUGCUGACCCCAGAGCAGAAGAAGGAGCUGUCUGACAUCACGCAUCACAUCGUGGCUCUGGGCAAGAGCAUCCCGGCUGCAGAUGAGUCCACUGGAAGAGUUGCCAAGUGGCUGCAGUCCAUUGGCACCAAGAAUACCGAGGAGAACCAGUGCUUCUACCACCAGCUGCGACUGACAGCUGACAACUGCAUGAACACCUGCAUCGAGGGCAUCAUCCUUUUCCAUGAGAUGCUGUACCAAAAGGUGGAUGAUAGGUGUCCCUUCCCCCAAGUUAUCAAAUCCAAGGGCAGUGUUGUGGGCAUCAAGGUAGAAAAGGGGGUGCUAUCCCUGGCAAGGGCAAAUGGCGAGACUACCACCCAAGGGCCGGAUGGGCUGUCUGAGCGCUGUGCCCCAGACAAGAAGGAUGGAACCCACUUUGCCAAGUGGCAUCAUGUGCUGAAGAUUGGGAAACACACCCCCUCAGCCCUCGCCAUCAUUGAAAAUGCCAACAUCAGCUGGGCGCAGCGGUGUGUCAAUGUCCUGGUCCGCUAUGCCAGCAUCUGCCAGCAGAAUGGCAUUGUGCUCAUCGCGGAGGCUGAGAUCCUCCCCAGUGGGGACCAUGACUUGAAGUACUGCCAGUAUGUAACCAAGAAGGUGUGGCUGCUGUCUACAAGGCUAUGAGUGACCACCACAUCUACCUGGAAGGCACCUUGCUGAAGUCCAAUAUGGUCACCCCGGGCCAAGCCUGCAUCCAGAAGUUUUCUCACAAGGAGAUUGCCAUGGCAACUGUCACAAUGCUACACUGCACAGUGUCCCCUGCUGUCCCUGGGAUCACUUCCUAUCUGGAAGCCAGAGCAAGGAGGUGUCCAUUAACCUCAAUGCCAUUAACAAGUGCCCCCUCCUGAAGCCCUGGGCCCUGACCUUCUCCUACAGCUGAACCCUGCAGGCCUCUGCCCUGAAGGCCUGGGGCAGGAAGAAGAACCGGAAGGCUGUGCAGAAGGAGUAUGUCAAGUGAGCCCUGGCCAAUAGCCUCACCUGUCAAGGAAAGUACAUUCCAAGCGGUCAGGCUGGGGCUGCUGCCAAUGAGUUCCUCUUCUUCUUUAACCACGCUUAG